CACCCAUUAGCUAGCCCCACACAUCCCUACAACACCAACACAUUAAUAACCCCAGAUGUACUCAUCUAAAUAAAAUAAAUCAUUCUUCCCCCUUAGUAUGGGAGACAGAAAAGGAACCCAGGAGCUAUAGAAAUAGUACCGCAAGGGAACGCUGAAAAAGAUAUGAAACAGCCCAGUAAAGUAAUAAAAAGCAGAGAUAAUAACUUGUACCUUUUGCAUCAUGAGUUAGUUAGACACACACAUGCAAAGAGAACUUUAGUAUGAAGUCCCGAAAUUGAGUGAGCUACUCCAAGACAGCCUAAAAAUAGGGCAAACCCGUCUCUGUGGCAAAAGAGUGGGAAGAGCUUUGAGUAGAGGUGAUAGACCUACCGAACUCAAUUAUAGCUGGUUGCCUGUAAAAUGGAUAUAAGUUCAGCCCCCUAGUUUCUCCCCUCAUAACUUAUAUAAGGUCUCCGGACACUGAGAAACUAAGAGAGUUAUUCAUAGGGGGUACAGCCCCUUUGAAUUAGGAAACAACCUUACAAGAAGGAUAAAGAUCAUAAUAAAUAAGGGAUUAGUGCCUCAGUGGGCCUAAAAGCAGCCACCUGUGUAGAAAGCGUUACAGCUCAAGCACCCCUCCAACCCAUAUAUCCCGAUAAAUGUUCCUUAAUCCUCCAAAAUUAACAGGCCUUCCUAUAAUAAUAUAGGAGCGACAAUGCUAACAUGAGUAAUAAGAGGGCUAUAAGACCCUCUCCCAGCACAGGUGUACAUCGGAUUGGACAAACCACCGAAAAUUAACGGCCUCAAACGAAGAGAGAACUGAAACCUGCUCAACGAACUAGAAAAAUAUUCAACACAAACCCGUUAAACCCACACUGGAGUGCCUAUGAGGAAAGACUAAAAAGAAAAGAAGGAACUCGGCAAAAAUAAACAUUAAAGCCUCGCCUGUUUACCAAAAACAUCGCCUCUUGCAAAACAUAGAAUAAGAGGUCGCGCCUGCCCAGUGACAUCUGAUUAAACGGCCGCGGUAUUUUGACUGUGCUAAGGUAGCGCAAUCACUUGUCUUUUAAAUGAAGACCUGUAUGAAAGGUAUGACGAGGGCUUAACUGUCUCCUUUUCUAAGUCAAUGAAAUUGAUCUCCCCGUGCAGAAGCGGGGAUAACACCAUAAGACGAGAAGACCCUGUGGAGCUUGAGACGUCAGAGCGGACCCCGUUAAAAAUGCCUAAAAGCUAAAAACUGAAGGGCCCCCGCCCUAGUGUCUUCGGUUGGGGCGACCAUGGGGAAAACAAAUCCCCCACGUGGACUAAGAGCACAAACCCCUUUCUUUAUAACCCCACUCUUACAAACUAGAGUUACAACUCCAAUUAACAGAAUUUCUGACCAAAAAUGAUCCGGCAACGCCGAUCAACGAACCAAGUUACCCCAGGGAUAACAGCGCAAUCCCCUUUUAGAGUCCCUAUCGACAAGGGGGUUUACGACCUCGAUGUUGGAUCAGGACAUCCUAAUGGUGCAACCGCUAUUAAGGGUUCGUUUGUUCAACGAUUAAAGUCCUACGUGAUCUGAGUUCAGACCGGAGUAAUCCAGGUCAGUUUCUAUCUAUGAAAUGCCCUUUUCUAGUACGAAAGGACCGAAAAGAGGAGGCCCAUGCCCUAGGCACGCCUCACCCCGACCUAGUGAAGUCAGCUAAACUAGGCAUAAGGGCAUAUGCCCUUAUGCCUAGAUAAGACAU
rnacentral:rRNA from 1 species